rnacentral:antisense_RNA from 1 species
CUCACCUUCACUGCAACAAACAAGGGUUGUUAAAGCUGGACACCGAGACGUGUUUCAUCACAUUACGCAAGCUGGUUUCGAACUCCUGAGCUCAAGCAAUCUACACACCUCAGCCUCCCAAGUUCCUGGGAUUACAGAUAUUUGCUCGGCUUCACCCUCUGAUGUGUUCCACACCACUUCAUGCCACUUUUCAAAAAGAUGAUAAAACGUCAGGGUGAGUAGAACAGAACUGGGUGCAAAUAAAUCUCUCUGAAGCUAACUUGCCUCUCUCCACUCCUACUUCCCUCUGCACGUGCCUUUGCUUUAUUCCUCUGCAUGAGAGAAGCAGUCAAAUCUUUCCCAUUUUCAUACCUGGAUUGCUGCUCAACAGCCUCAACAACUGAGACCUGAAUGUAUCCCCAUUUUAAAGAACCUAACAGAACAUUAAAAUUGUUUCCCAGCCUUCUGAUUCCACAUAUAUAAAAGCCAUUUCUACAGACAUUGAUUCAUACAGGACC